rnacentral:rRNA from 1 species
UGGUGGAGUGAUUUGUCUGGUUAAUUCCGUUAACGAACGAGACCUUUGUGUGUUGGUUGUGUGUUGCUUUCGUAUGAAAGUAGGUCGCUUCCAAACAGACUUUUGGCGAUUAGCCAAAGGAAGUGAAAGGCAAUAACA